UACGAGGGGUGCAAGCGUUGCUCGGAAUUAUUGGGCGUAAAGGGUAGGUAGGUGGUCUCAUUUGUCAGGGGUGAAAUCCUUGGGCUUAACUCAAGAAGUGCCCCUGAAACGGUGAGACUCGAGUCCUGAAGAGGUGAGUGGAAUUCCCGGUGUAGCGGUGAAAUGCGUAGAGAUCGGGAGGAACACCAGAGGCGAAGGCGGCUCACUGGACAGGUACUGACACUCAACUACGAAAGCGUGGGGAGCAAACAGG
rnacentral:rRNA from 1 species